rnacentral:rRNA from 1 species
ACGGAAGGCAGCAGUGGGGAAUAUUGCACAAUGGGGGAAACCCUGAUGCAGCGACGCCGCGUGAGUGAAGAAGUUAUUCGUAAUGUAAAGCUCUAUCAGCAGGGAAGAAAAUGACGGUACCUGACUAAGAAGCCCCGGCUAACUACGUGCCAGCAGCCGCGGUAAUACGUAGGGGGCAAGCGUUAUCCGGAUUUACUGGGUGUAAAGGGAGCGUAGACGGUCUGGCAAGUCUGAUGUGAAAGGCAGGGGCUCAACUCCUGGACUGCAUUGGAAACUGUCAGUCUUGAGUGACGGAGAGGUAAGCGGAAUUCCUAGUGUAGCGGUGAAAUGCGUAGAUAUUAGGAGGAACACCAGUGGCGAAGGCGGCUUACUGGACGGUAACUGACGUUGAGGCUCGAAAGCGUGGGGAGCAAACAGGAUUAGAUACCCUGGUA